rnacentral:rRNA from 1 species
AGAGUUUGAUCAUGGCUCAGAUUGAACGCUGGCGGCAUGCUUACACAUGCAAGUCGAGCGGCAGCGCGGGGCAACCUGGCGGCGAGCGGCGGACGGGUGAGUAAUGCAUCGGAACGUAUCCCGUAGUGGGGGACAACCCAGCGAAAGCUGGGCUAAUACCGCAUAUGCUCUACGGAGGAAAGUGGGGGACCCGCAAGGGCCUCACGCUAUGGGAGCGGCCGAUGUCCGAUUAGCUAGUUGGUGGGGUAAAGGCCUACCAAGGCGACGAUCGGUAGCUGGUCUGAGAGGAUGAUCAGCCACACUGGGACUGAGACACGGCCCAGACUCCUACGGGAGGCAGCAGUGGGGAAUUUUGGACAAUGGGGGCAACCCUGAUCCAGCCAUGCCGCGUGCGGGAAGAAGGCCUUCGGGUUGUAAACCGCUUUUGUUCGGGAAGAAAAGGCACGUCCUAAUACGGCGUGUUCUUGACGGUACCGGAAGAAUAAGCACCGGCUAACUACGUG